ACGCUGGCGGCAGGCCUAACACAUGCAAGUCGAACGGGAUCUUCGGAUCUAGUGGCGGACGGGUUAGUAACGCGUGGGAACGUACCCUUUUCUACGGAAUAGCCUCGGGAAACUGAGAGUAAUACCGUAUACGCCCUUCGGGGGAAAGAUUUAUCGGAGAAGGAUCGGCCCGCGUAAGAUUAGAUAGUUGGUGGGGUAAUGGCCUACCAAGUCUACGAUCUUUAGCUGGUUUGAGAGGAUGAUCAGCAACACUGGGACUGAGACACGGCCCAGACUCCUACGGGAGGCAGCAGUGGGGAAUCUUAGACAAUGGGGGAAACCCUGAUCUAGCCAUGCCGCGUGAGUGACGAAGGCCUUAGGGUCGUAAAGCUCUUUCGCUGGGGAAGAUAAUGACUGUACCCAGUAAAGAAACCCCGGCUAACUCCGUGCCAGCAGCCGCGGUAAUACGGAGGGGGUUAGCGUUGUUCGGAAUUACUGGGCGUAAAGCGCGCGUAGGCGGACUGGAAGUUGGGGGUGAAAUCCCGGGCUAACCCCGACGCCUCAAAACUAUAGUCUAGAGUUCGAGAGAGUGAGUGGAAUUCCAGUGUA
rnacentral:rRNA from 1 species